rnacentral:rRNA from 1 species
ACAGUGACUUUCCUUUUGUGGUAGCGUUGACUGGUGUGUAAGCAUGGGCUCUAUCAAACUUGGGGGAUAAUUUAGGGAAAACUUACGCUAAUACCGCAUACGUCUUUGGAGAGAAAUCAGGCGACCUUCGGGCCUUGCGCGGUUGGACGAACGGAUGUGCGAUUAGCUAGUUGGUAGGGUAAUGGCCUACCAAGGCGACGAUCGCUAGCUGGUCUGAGAGGAUGAUCAGCCACACUGGAACUGAGACACGGUCCAGACUCCUACGGGAGGCAGCAGUGGGGAAUAUUGGACAAUGGGCGCAAGCCUGAUCCAGCAAUGCCGCGUGUGUGAAGAAGGCCUUCGGGUUGUAAAGCACUUUUAUCAGGAGCGAAAUACUACCGGCUAAUAUCCGGUGGGGCUGACGGUACCUGAGGAAUAAGCACCGGCUAACUUCGUGCCAGCAGCCGCGGUAAUACGAAGGGUGCAAGCGUUAAUCGGAAUUACUGGGCGUAAAGCGUGCGUAGGCGGUUAUUUAAGUCUGUUGUGAAAUCCCCGGGCUCAACCUGGGAAUGGCAAUGGAUACUGGAUAGCUAGAGUGUGAUAGAGGAUGGUGGAAUUCCCGGUGUAGCGGUGAAAUGCGUAGAGAUCGGGAGGAACAUCAGUGGCGAAGGCGGCCAUCUGGAUCAACACUGACGCUGAGGCACGAAAGCGUGGGGAGCAAACAGG